CAUACAUAAGGCUCAAUGAUUGAACAAGGGAGGAGAUCAAGGCAGAGUCAGGGCAAAGGAUGGUAAAAAAACAUGUUCCAUGGGAAGUACAGGCCACACCCAGGCUAAGAGAUUGCAUUAGAGUGAGAUCUGAAGGUUGAGUAAGAGUUUACUUAGUAUAGGUGAACUUCUUGGUGGAUGUGGGCCGCAAUUUCAGCCAGAGGUCCAGAAGUUCAAGGAGCGUAAAGAUCUAGGUGUGGACAUCUGAAGCAUGGAGCCUGUGGGGAAGAUCUGGACACAUUUCUCCCCACCAAAGCAGGCUCCGUUAGUAAGAAAAAUAUUGAAAGCAAUCAGAUGGCAAGCUCCUGUGGACUGAGAAAGCCCAAAGCAGAGGAUUGGAGAUGGAAGGAAGGAAAGGAAAGACCUUGAGGAAAGUACAAAGUCUACCCACACGAGCAUUUCCUAAUGAGCGUUCUGCAGAAAACAAGUUCCACAAAGCAUUGGUAGGUGUUAUUCGCGGGGUGCACUUCGAAUUUGCAAUCACCAUGAGGCUCCAGGGUGAGGAAUGUCUUCUGACUCUACUUCUGCAAACUUCAUUCGAUGCGCCUGUGAGAGAAAACGAGGGAUCCCAGUGUCUGAAGGAAAAAAUGGUUCUGUAA
rnacentral:lncRNA from 1 species